ensembl:snoRNA small nucleolar RNA SNORA29
UUUCCCGUUUUAGUACCGUUCAUUCGUUCCACCCCAGAAUGAACGGCUAUGCUAAUGGGAGAGAGAGAAAAUUGUCAGAGUGAAGGAGGGUCUGGCCUCGUCCAUCCCUUCUAGUUGAACUGACAUGACAAAAUCUA